UUUAUACACUGAUAAAAGUUGCUCUAAGAAAGAUUCCAUUGACUUCGUUAGACUAACAAAAGUGCUCAUGGCCCAGAAAAGGUUAAUUCUUCCUGGCAGUGGGCCUGCUGCCCCCCCUUCAGUGACUCUGGUGUCCUUCCACUCCGGAUCAGGUUUCAUUCAUCAGUGCCUUCAUUAGCACAGGCUUGUAGCCCGAAUGAUAUCUGCCGUCCUCCACGACAGAGCUCAAAUGCCACCAAUACACUUAUUCCCAGACUUUGUCCAUAUUUCAUUUUUACCUGUUGUCAUGUUCCUUUUUUUCAGCAACAGUGACAAGUCCUGGGCCCUUAUGUCCUGGGUCCUAUCUAAUUCAUCUCUGCAUCCCAGACAUUGUUUGGCAGAAAUGAAAUCUCCAAUCAAAGUUUGAUGCAUGUUUGAAUGAGGAAUCAUCUUGUGGCACAAGAGCCUGAUUUUCCUUUCUUCCUAUCAGGGCACCAGCGGCCCUGCAGCUGCCGGCGCCACCUCCAGCCAAACUGUGCUUCUGGGCACCCCUGAGAAUUCCUGGUGGGCCCAAGUAAGGUCUUCCUGCUCUGCAAAUCUCAACAGACAUUGAUGAAUCGUCCCUCAAGACUGCUCUGCAUCGUACAUUUAUUUAUCCGUGUUUCUCAUGAUGAAUCGUCCCUCAAGACUGCUCCUCAUCACGCAUUUAUUUUUCCGUGUUUCUCAGUCCCGGGUUGGCGUCUUCCUUCUCUCUCCCUCUGUCCCAGGAUGUCUCAAGCUCAGCACUGUUGACAUUUUUGGCUGCAUAAUUCUGGGUCACCAGGGGCUUUCCUGUGUCUUUUAGGGUAUUUCAACAGCAUCUCUGGCCUCUACACUAGGCACCAGCGGCAUCCUCCCCAAUUGUGACAAUCAAAACUGUCUCCAGACACGGACAUGUAACCUCUGUUGGGGAGGAGACGAGAACCAUCCUCAGUGUGUCCUCUGUCGGGGAGGAGAGGACAACCAUGCUCAGUGUGUCCUCUGUCGGGAAGGAGAGGACAACCAUCCUCAGUGUGUCCUCUGUCGGGGAGGAGAGGACAACCAUGCUCAGUGUGUCCUCUGUCGGGGAGGAGACGAGAACCAUCCUCAGUGUGUCCUCUGUCGGGGAGGAGAGGACAACCAUCCUCAGUGUGUCCUCUGUCGGGGAGGAGAGGACAACCAUGCUCAGUUGAGAACCACAGUUCUAUCCCUUUUAUAACAACUAGUUUGGAAAAAAAAUGUUUCUUGUGUUUGCUGAUAAAGUACUUAUUAGUCAAUCAUUUAUUCCUUUAACUAUUGUUGCAUAGUUACUGUAUAUAUGCCAGUCUGCAAAUGCUAGUCUAGCUUUAUGCUAGAAGCUACAAAAUAUUCCAGACUCCUUUUGCAAUUUUGUUGGCCAAAUCUCCUGACCUUGAUUGAUUAGCAUAGCCAUUAAAAUAAGUGUCCUCAUUGGUCAGGGCUGGGCUUACACAAAGCACAUAAAGGGCCUGAAGCUCUGAAGGGCUGGGGAAAGCACACUCAAAAUCCAGAGCCUGGUCCGUGAGGCUCAGGGUACCAAGAAACCGCAGUGAAGACUCAAAAACUACGGAAUAUCUACUGUGACGUCUGCCCUUGAAUUGUUAGGUAUUAGCAAAAUAAUACUGGUUUUGCUGGCACCUCA